rnacentral:tRNA from 1 species
GCCGACGUGGUGGAAUUGGUAGACACGCUAUCUUGAGGGGGUAGUGGCCAUUGGUCGUGCGAGUUCAAGUCUCGCCUUCGGCACCA